AGUCUGGUGCCAGCAGCCGCGGUAAUUCCAGCUCCAAUAGCGUAUAUUAAUGUUGUUGCAGUUUAAAAGCUCGUAGUUGAAACUUGAAUAUAGAAUAAGUUUGGUUACUAUUUUUAUAGUUGACUACUUGUUCAUAUUCUUCCAACUAGAUACUCGAUAGUGUUCUUGAUUGAAUGUUAUAGCAUACUUCGGUGUGUCGAUAGUAGGUGAUCGCUCUUCCAAUAUAUUGAAUUGUAUAAAAGCAAGGAGAUAUAUUGAGGAGAUCAAGUGAUUAUUUAUUAUUGGAGUUCUAGUUCAUUUACUUUGAGAAAAUUAGAGUGUUUAAAGCAGCCUCUUGGGGCUCUGAAUACAUUAGCAUGGGAUAAUAGAAUAGGAUUUAGGUCAAUAUAUUUGUUGGUUUGAAUGAACUAAAUAAUGAUUAAUAGGAACAGUUGGGGGUAUUUAUAUUGGAUGGUUAGCGGUGAAAUGCACGGAUCCAUUCAAGAUAAACUAAAGCGAAAGCAUUUACCAAGGAUGUUUUCAUUAAUCAAGAACGAAAGUUAAGGGAUCGAAGACGAUCAGAUACCGUCGUAGUCUUAACUAUAAACUAUGCCGACCAGGGAUAUGAGUUGUUAUGAAUACUUUAUUGUAUUCGAUUUCCUCUUGUGGACCUUGUGAGAAAUCAUAAGUUUUUGGGUUCUGGGGGGAGUAUGGUCGCAAGGCUGAAACUUAAAGGAAUUGACGGAGGGGCACCACCAGGAGUGGAGCGUGCGGCUUAAUUUGACCCAACACGGGAAAACUUACCAGGUCCAGACAUUAGAAGGAUUGACAGAUUGAUAGCUCUUUCAUGAUUUAAUGGGUGGUGGUGCAUGGCCGUUCUUAGUUGGUGGAGUGAUUUGUCUGGUUAAUUCCGAUAACGAACGAGACCUUUACCAUACUAAAUAGUAUAUUGUAUCAUUUUAUGAUACUUACAAUUAAUACUUCUUAGAGGGACUAUUGGUUCUUAAACCAAAGGAAGUAAAGGCGAUAACAGGUCUGUGAUGCCCUUAGAUGUUCUGGGCUGCACGCGCGCUACAAUGAUAAGCUCAACGAGUAUGUUUUUAUAAUUUGCUGCAUUGGAAAGUGUGGCUAAUCUUAAACGCUUAUCGUGCUUGGGAUAGAUGCUUGCAAUUUUUUAUCUUGAACCAGGAAUUCCUAGUAAUCGUAUAUCAUCAGUGUGCGAUGAUUACGUCCCUGCCCCUUGUACACACCGCCCGUCGCUGCUACCGAUUGGAUGGUCCGGUGAAAUCCUCGGAUACUAGUAAAUACUUUGAC
rnacentral:rRNA from 1 species